rnacentral:rRNA from 1 species
AUUGAACGCUGGCGGAAUGCUUUACACAUGCAAGUCGAACGGCAGCACGGGGGCAACCCUGGUGGCGAGUGGCGAACGGGUGAGUAAUACAUCGGAACGUGCCCGGUCGUGGGGGAUAACGUAGCGAAAGUUACGCUAAUACCGCAUACGAUCUGAGGAUGAAAGCGGGGGACCUUCGGGCCUCGCGCGAUCGGAGCGGCCGAUGUCAGAUUAGGUAGUUGGUGGGGUAAAGGCCUACCAAGCCGACGAUCUGUAGCUGGUCUGAGAGGACGACCAGCCACACUGGGACUGAGACACGGCCCAGACUCCUACGGGAGGCAGCAGUGGGGAAUUUUGGACAAUGGGCGCAAGCCUGAUCCAGCCAUUCCGCGUGCAGGACGAAGGCCUUCGGGUUGUAAACUGCUUUUGUAUGGAACGAAAAGGCUCUGGCUAAUACCUGGGGCUCAUGACGGUACCGUAAGAAUAAGCACCGGCGAACUACGU